CCCUGGGCAGCCUGUUCCAGCAGCUGACCACUCUCUCAGAGAAAUAUUUCCUAACUUAAACCACUGAUCAGUUUUGAGGCUGUAUUUAAUAUGGAGCACAAAUUUGAUUUUAAUACAGCUUUCUUAGCUGCCAAGAAAGGAAAUUAUUGUUAACCUUUCUCAUCUUCACUCUAGGAGCACUGACACUCUUCCAGCCACUUUUUGUUCAUGAGCUGUAAAGGUUUUUCACCAAAUUACCGUGUUGCUAACAUUGAGUUAAUUUAUUUUUUCAGCUGCACUGACCUCCUUUCAGGCUUAGGCAGCGCAUUCCUGCUCCUGGAGAUCUGCUGGUGGCACAGGGUCACAGACAUGUAACUCCUGUCAUUUGUGACCUGACAACUCUCUCAGUUUGUAUUUACGAUUUACUUAUUAACAGGAACGUAACAGAAAUGUGAGGAGGACCCAGUUUUAGCAUUACUGAGGCUGUCUGGAAGGAACAGCCACCGCACGAUCACGCCCACAAGCCCAGUACGGCUCCCGCCCUCCACUGCGCCUCCUGCCGUGGCUGCCAAGGGAAGUGCUUCUCCCCGUAGCGGCUCUGCUCUCCUUGUAGCCGAGCUGAGAGCGAGGGCUUAUCUUGCUCCCAGCAAACACAAAACCGCCCCAAACCAGACAUUCAGAGCAGCGAAACGAGGGUGAGCUCUGACGGCGGCCUCCCCUCGCCGCAACGGGAGCUGCUGCGCCCCGCCCUCGCGGCCGCGACAUGGCGGCGGCGGAGGCGGCGGGUCGGGCUGCGCGCAGGCAGCGCCCCGGGACGGCGGCACGCAGCGGUGGCUCUGCGAGCACUCGGCGGAGCUGCGGCCCGUGCUCGAAUCGUGAACCCUAGUAAGCAGUAUAUUCACAGAAAGACAGGCACAUAAGUAUGAACUACCCAUUUCAGCAGAGGCAAAAUACAAGGACCUGGGAGCUGGCUUUACAAAUCAUGAGUGCGCUCAGUAAUUCAUCAGAAGGAAAAUACUCUGUAUUACUGCAUAUAGAAAAUGUAGUAAAACCAUCCCUUCUUACAGGUGAUUUCAUUUUUAUUAUUUCAGGUAUGUUGCUAAUGCAAAAAAAUAAUCUGAAAACACUCUAAAAUGAAGAAAGAUAUUCAAUAUUUUCUCUUGUGCCGUGAACUACUCUGCUGUUCCAUGUCUGUGACUGGUGCCAUCUGUUACACAGUACAAGCACUUGAAUGAGAACUCCACAGUUUGUAGUUUAGAUCAUCUUUGGGGUACAGGGUGCAAAUGGGAAGAGAACUCUGCCUUUGAUGGUACUUAACCAGUGUCUUGAUGUGUGCUGUGCUGUCCUUUGCACUAUUCACCGCUUACUCAGUGAAACACUACUGCAUCAUCACUUGUGCCUGUGUUAUUACAAAGCCUAAAGCUAUUUGUCUGUUACUAAGAGAAGGUAGGCAUACGAGAAAGACCAGAAGACAUAAUCAAAAAAGAACUUUCUUGCCCAACUGUGCUGGAAACUUUUGCCAGAAUUGGAAUUUGUUUUAAUUUGUUUGCUGGAAUUGUUUUAAUUUUAGUUCAUACAAUCAUCAUCGUAAUUAUGCUUUUUCUGUAGAAAAGAAAAACAUGCUGGCCAUUCAAACAGCUAAAAUAGAAAAGUCAUAAAAACUAUCAUUAUUCUUGGACUACAAAUGAGUUUCAAUCUUCUACUACUUUUUAUUAAAAUAGCUGUCUGAAGACAUCCUGAUAACACUAUUUUGAAUUUAUCAGCCUUUUUUUGUUCUGUUGUUUGCACAGUGCUUCAGCUUUGUGGUUUAUGGUCUGCAAAACAAAGGUCUGCAAAGACUUAACAACUGUUGAGUUUACUGAGUUAGGUGACUGAUCCCAGAUGUUAAACUCUAGCUCUUCCACCUCAAAAAAUAAAGUCAUGCCAGCAUUGAAAAACAAACAAGAAAGCUUCAGAUACUGCUGCACAGUGUUACUGUGACAUUGGCUGGACUGAAAGGAAGCUGAACUGGUUAACAGCUUUCAGAUUCUUGUUAUUAUGACUGUGCAUUUAUUUAACUCACUAUGAACCAAGAUCAAGCAGAAGACUGAGUAUGAGAAGGCAUGUGAAAAUGCUGCAGAUCUGUCAAAAGAGAACCAAAACAGAGUUUUAUUUUAAAAUAAAUGAAAGCUUUCUUUCACUGGGUUUUAGGAAAAGUGAUGAUUAUAGAGAAUAGAGGGGAAUGUAGCUGCAGGCAACUGUACUUAGGUAAAUAAAAGGAGCGGGGAUCACAGCUUUUCCAAAUGUGAAGUCAACUUGCAGUGGUAUCAGAAUUGCUUUCAAUGUUUGUAAAAAUAUACAUUAUUUGAUCUUCACUCAUUACAUUUAGAACAAAGAAGUUUUAUUAAUAUUUUAGUGAACUGCAAUCAUUUUGUGGAUGUGUCAGUUUUACAGUUGAAUUCUAAAAUCCUUCAAA